rnacentral:rRNA from 1 species
AACGGCCGCGGUAUUUUGACCGUGCAAAGGUAGCGCAAUCACUUGUCUUUUAAAUGAAGACCUGUAUGAAUGGCAUAACGAGGGCUUAACUGUCUCCUUUUUCCUAUCAAUGAAAUUGAUCUCCCCGUGCAGAAGCGGGGAUUAAAACAUAAGACGAGAAGACCCUAUGGAGCUUAAAACGCAAGAACAGAACAUGUCUAUUCAUAAAUUUAAAAAAUGAAAUCAAUUGAAACCUGUUCAAAUGUUUUUGGUUGGGGCGACCGCGGAGUAUAAUAAAACCUCCAUGAGGAAUUAAAGGUAUUCCUUUCAAUUUAAGGGUGACAACCCUAAAAAACAGAAUUUCUGACCACCAUGAUCCGGCAAAGCCGAUCAACGGACCGAGUUACCCUAGGGAUAACAGCGCAAUCCUCUUUUAGAGUCCAUAUCGACAAGAGGGUUUACGACCUCGAUGUUGGAUCAGGACAUCCUAAU